GAAAACUUUAAACUUCGCUAUAAUACCUGCCCCAAGACUUAUAUUAAUCAUUUUUUCAAGAUGUCUGCAAUAGCAAACGUAUCUUUUUUGUUUUUAGUUACCUUCAUCCACCAGAGUUCUGGUUCCUGUGUCCGUCAUGGCAUGGACUUCUGGGGAGCGGACCUGUGGAAUUUUAGUCCUUCCACCUUUGACAGUUGCACAAAUUUGUGUAAAGCAGCCACGUCCUGCAAAGCUAUUACUUACCAACCUUCCUCCAAAACAUGCUGGCUCAAGUACCGAAGAGGAGGAAACCAUGGUCCUUCUCUAGUACCAGGACUGAUCAGCGCUAACAUGAACUGCGAGUACAAGAGAGACCAGAGCUGUGCUAAACACAGCGUGGACUACGGGGGAGCAGACUUGGGUCACAGGACAGCGACCACAUUGGACCAGUGCGAGCAGUUCUGUCGAGAUACAGAGAGGUGUGUGUCUCUCACAUUCAGGGCAUCUUCCAGGAGCUGCUGGCUGAAGCAUCGCAAGAGUGGAGCCAGAGGACCGAGCACUGUGCACGGCCUUGUAAGUCUCAACAUGGAGUGCCCCCCAUCUGGAACGCAAACUUCCGGAUGUGUACACAACGACAUAGAUUUCUGGGGAGCUGACUUGAUUAAUCUAACAACGGAUCGAUACAGUGUAAGCAAAUGUGAGGGAUUCUGUAGGGAAGAGCCUCGCUGUGUUUCCUUUACUUACCGGAGUUCUGAUGGACAUUGCUGGCUGAAGGGUCAGCAGUACGGAGCGAGGGGACCAAGCCAUGCUGUGGGACUCAUCAGCAUGAACAUGAACUGUUCAAAAUAAACACUACUAGCUAGAAAAUGUAGAGUUGGAUAUGUUUAUUCAGCGAAUUUGAGAAAGUUUUAAGUUUUAAGGGUUUUUUAAAGGUUUUUAGUUUCGAAAUGACGAUUGCCUUUAUAUUUCGGUUUCAGCUUAACCCCCUAAGUCAUUAGUUGAACCGAAAGAUCAAAAUAUAUGUUGCUUGUUGCUCGUAUUAACUGUAAAACAUCAAUUUCGAGUGAUAA